GUCAAACGUCACUCCACACACUCACAUUGCAAUCGAAACCACGCAUGCGUCAAUUGCUAGCCACUGACUGAAAACUCAAGUAACAAAAGUAAAUCUCGGACUGUCGAAAAAAUAAUCUAUUUACUCCAGUUUUAUAACUAAAAACCACCGUAAUUUUUUGUCUAAUUACUCAAAGAAUAACAAAGCAAAAAUGACUAGCAAAUCAAAAGCUUUUACUAAAGAAGAAGAACUUUUGCUCCAAGAUUUUUCUCGCAAUGUAUCUACCAAAUCAUCAGCGUUAUUCUAUGGCAAUGCUUUUAUAGUAUCGGCAAUUCCUAUAUGGCUGUUUUGGAGAAUUCAUCUGAUUGAUUUAUACUCAAAUGCCAUUUCAUUUGUAUUAGUUACAUUAAUUAGCACAUAUUUAAUGUCAUUGGCUUACAAAAAUACUAAAUUUAUCUUGAAGCACAAGAUUGCAGUAAAAAGAGAAGAUGCAGUAACCCGUGACAUGACCAAAACCCUCGCAGAAGACAAGAAAAUGAGCAAGAAAGAAAAAGACGAAAGAAUACUGUGGAAGAAAAAUGAAGUUGCCGAUUACGAAGCUACCACUUUUUCAUUAUUCUACAACAACGCUCUUUUCUUGGCGGUUGUCAUCUUCACGUCUUUCUACAUCUUGAAGACAUUUACACCUGCAUUCAACUACAUCUUGUCUGUCGGUGGAACAAGUGCGCUGCUAGCUCUCCUGUCUACUGGAUCUCAGUAAAGAAAUAUAUUUAAAUUUAUUUAAACACCGAAUUACGAAUGUAAAUAAUGUCGCAGUUGGAUUAGGUUCAUAAUUGUCACUUUUGUUAAUUUUUGUUGAUAAAUCUUGAAGAUGAUUUAUUAUUUGGAUAAAUAAUGUAAGUAAUAUGAAUUAUGUUUUAUGUUACUAUUAUUAUAAUAUAUAAUGCUGUUGUAUUGCCAACGAUUUCGUCAAUCAACAAAAAAUACCGAGAAUAAUUGUAUACAAUUUAUACAUGUGUUAGGUGUUUUUAGACAAGUUGAAAGCCCACAAACUAAGUAGCAGUAACAGUCGGCGAAGAAACAGAAGCAGCAUAAGAGGAAGAGGAAGAAGAAGAAGAAGAAGAAGAAGAAGAA